rnacentral:rRNA from 1 species
AGCGCAGUAGGGAUCUUCCGCAUGGACGAAAGUCUGACGGAGCAACGCCGCGUGAGUGAUGAAGGUUUUCGGAUCGUAAAACUCUGUUAUUAGGGAAGAACAAAUGUGUAAGUAACUGUGCACAUCUUGACGGUACCUAAUCAGAAAGCCACGGCUAACUACGUGCCAGCAGCCGCGGUAAUACGUAGGUGGCAAGCGUUAUCCGGAAUUAUUGGGCGUAAAGCGCGCGUAGGCGGUUUCUUAAGUCUGAUGUGAAAGCCCACGGCUCAACCGUGGAGGGUCAUUGGAAACUGGGAAACUUGAGUACAGAAGAGGAAAGUGGAAUUCCAUGUGUAGCGGUGAAAUGCGCAGAGAUAUGGAGGAACACCAGUGGCGAAGGCGACUUUCUGGUCUGUAACUGACGCUGAUGUGCGAAAGCGUGGGGAUCAAACAGGAUUAGAUACCCUGGUAGUCCACGCCGUAAACGAUGAGUGCUAAGUGUUAGGGGGUUUCCGCCCCUUAGUGCUGCAGCUAACGCAUUAAGCACUCCGCCUGGGGAGUACGACCGCAAGGUUGAAACUCAAAGGAAUUGACGGGGCCC